rnacentral:rRNA from 1 species
AAUGAACGCUGGCGGCAUGCCUAACACAUGCAGGUCGAACGAAGGCUUCGGCCUUAGUGGCGCACGGGUGCGUAACGCGUGGGAAUCUGCCCUUGGGUUCGGAAUAACAGUUAGAAAUGACUGCUAAUACCGGAUGAUGACGUAAGUCCAAAGAUUUAUCGCCCAAGGAUGAGCCCGCGUAGGAUUAGCUAGUUGGUGGGGUAAAAGCCCACCAAGGCGACGAUCCUUAGCUGGUCUGAGAGGAUGAUCAGCCACACUGGGACUGAGACACGGCCCAGACUCCUACGGGAGGCAGCAGUGGGGAAUAUUGGACAAUGGGCGAAAGCCUGAUCCAGCAAUGCCGCGUGAGUGAUGAAGGCCUUAGGGUUGUAAAGCUCUUUUACCGGAGAAGAUAAUGACGGUAUCCGGAGAAGAAGCCCCGGCUAACUUCGUGCCAGCCGCCGCAGUAAUAC